AUGGUUGUCAGAUGGUGUAUGAUGGUGUAGGGUGGUUAUACAGGGAAGGGUUGUCAGAUGGUGAAGAUGGUACAGAUGGUGUAUGAUGGUCGAAGUGUGUCAGAUGGUUGUCAGAUGGUGUAUGAUGGUGUAUGAUGGUCGAAGUGUGUCAGAUGGUUGUCGGAUGGUGUAUGAUGGUGUAGGGUGGUUAUACAGGGAAGGGUUGUCAGAUGGUGAAGAUGAUACAGAUGG